GGUAGUUACAAGUGAGUGUGAAAGGCUUUGGUCAAUAUUUAGUAGAAAAGAUCAGGCGCUGCAGGUUAUCGAGAACGAUUCCAAAAAGGAUCUUGUUGAAAUAAAUAACCAAGUGCUACAAAAGCUUAAAUAUGAGCUAAAACAUUGUAAAGACGAGUUGGAUUCAGCUGAAGGAACUAUUGAAACCUUGACAGCUGAAAGAUUUUAGAACAAAAGCUAUAUGUGCUUGAGAAGAAGAGUGCUGAAGAGAUGAGUUUGAUUCUUAAUCUCACAUUUAAAAUGGAAGAUGGAAACGUUUGUAGAUGAGUUUUUAUUGUAGUUGAGUUUUAUUCUUAAUCUCAAAUUUGGUUAUGUUUUCAGACUCAUUAACACUGCUGCAAUUUUUAUUAUUGUUGCCACUGUCUGUAUUUGGUUUUAUUAGGCUGUUGGCAAUUGAAGGAAUUGAAGGUAAUGAGAGAAAAGGAUAAUGAAGCUCAUGAAAAUAGCUCAUGUUUUAUAUCAAUUAUGUUUUUUUUGGUUGUGCUGGUGUUAUUAAAUUUAAACUGGCUGUAUUAAA